GCCCCGAUAGCUCAGCUGGAUAGAGCGUCCGCCUCCUAAGCGGAAGGCCAGAGGUUCGAAUCCUCUUCGGGGCG
rnacentral:tRNA from 1 species